GGGCGUGUAGCGCAGGGGUAGCGCGUAGGUACUCACCGUCGCUUGUCUUGAAUCUCGUCCUAACAUUCUUCAGGCUCGCUUUGCAUCGACGGAAACGUCUUGAAGCUGCGAGAGGCCCAGGGUUCAAAUCCCUGCUCGUCCA